rnacentral:rRNA from 1 species
GCUUACGGCCAUACCACCCUGAACGCGCCCGAUCUCGUCUGAUCUCGGAAGCUAAGCAGGGUCGGGCCUGGUUAGUACUUGGAUGGGAGACCGCCUGGGAAUACCAAGUGCUGUAAGCU